rnacentral:rRNA from 1 species
AACUAACGCUGGCGGCAUGCCUAACACAUGCAAGUCGAACGAGACCUUCGGGUCUAGUGGCGCACGGGUGCGUAACGCGUGGGAACCUGCCCUUAGGUUCGGAAUAACUCCCCGAAAGGGGUGCUAAUACCGGAUAAUGUCUUCGGACCAAAGAUUUAUCGCCUUUGGAUGGGCCCGCGUUGGAUUAGCUAGUUGGUAGGGUAAAAGCCUACCAAGGCGACGAGCCAUAGCUGGUCUGAGAGGAUGAUCAGCCACACUGGGACUGAGACACGGCCCAGACUCCUACGGGAGGCAGCAGUGGGGAAUAUUGGACAAUGGGCGAAAGCCUGAUCCAGCAAUGCCGCAUGAGUGAUGAAGGCCUUAGGGUUGUAAAGCUCUUUUACCCGGGAUGAUAAUGACAGUACCGGGAGAAUAAGCUCCGGCUAACUCCGUG